rnacentral:snRNA from 1 species
UACUCUGGUUUCUCUUCAGAUCGCAUAAAUCUUUCCCCUUUUACUAAAGAUUUCCAUGGGGAGUCAGGUCCUGAGGGGGCUGUUGUCUGCUCACCCAAAGAGCUCC